rnacentral:tRNA from 1 species
GCCUUCGUGGCGUAGUGGUCAGCACGCUGGGCGCGUAUUCCAGAGGUCUGUGGUUCGAAUCCCAAAGAGGGCA